rnacentral:tRNA from 1 species
CCUUCGAUAGCUCAGUUGGUAGAGCGGUGGACUGUAGCGGAAACAACUGAUAUCCAUAGGUCGCUGGUUCAAAUCCGGCUCGAAGGA